rnacentral:rRNA from 1 species
UACGUAGGGACCGAGCGUUGUCCGGAAUCAUUGGGCGUAAAGAGCGUGUAGGCGGCCCCUUAAGUCCGGCGUGAAAUCCUGCGGCUCAACCGCAGACGGUCGUGGGAAACUGGAGGGCUAGAGUGCGGGAGAGGAGAGUGGAAUUCCCAGUGUAGAGGUGAAAUUCGUAGAUAUUGGGAAGAACACCGGUGGCGAAGGCGGCUCACUGGCCCGUUUCUGACGCUCAGGCGCGACAGCGUGGGGAUCAAACAGG